CUCUAGCAUCCUCGCGACUAAUGACAGGCCUAACACAGGGUAACCCUCUCAUUAGCCGCGCGAAACUCUGCAUGAAGAUCAUUUAUCGCAGCAAUACAAACAAUACAUGACUUUCAGCCUGAUUGCUGCCCAUCUGGUUGAAAAAAGGGGCCAUAAAGGCCCCUCUUU
rnacentral:sRNA from 1 species